rnacentral:rRNA from 1 species
GUACCUGGAGAAAAAGCAACGGCUAACUACGUGCCAGCAGCCGCGGUAAUACGUAGGUUGCAAGCGUUGUCCGGAUUUACUGGGUGUAAAGGGCGUGUAGGCGGAGAUGCAAGUUGGGAGUGAAAACCAUGGGCUCAACCCAUGAACUGCUCUCAAAACUGUAUCCCUUGAGUAUCGGAGAGGCAAGCGGAAUUCCUAGUGUAGCGGUGAAAUGCGUAGAUAUUAGGAGGAACACCAGUGGCGAAGGCGGCUUGCUGGACGACAACUGACGCUGAGGCGCGAAAGCGUGGGGAGCAAACAGGAUUAGAUACCCUGGUAGUCCACGCUGUAAACGAUGAAUAUUAGGUGUGGGAGGACUGACCCCUUCCGUGCCGCAGUUAACACAAUAAGUAUUCCACCUGGGGA